GAGACUUUAUCAGUGGCUGAUAUGAUGACCAUUUCCCCUUCUUACUGCAGUAUGUCCCAAAAUUAAUUCAAAGGAACUAAUUUUAUUAGGUUGGCAAAUUUUGUGACAUGCGUUGAGAUACUUGGAAAUAAAUGGAAGUGUCACCAAAAAAAGAGAGAGAGAGUCCUUUAAAAUGUGUCCUAAAGCAUGUCAUGAGUAAGGCCUCAUAUUUUAUCUUCAGCAUUUUCACCACUGUUACCUCAUUUUCUCUCACAACAACCUGAGAAGGCACAAAAGGGAGCCCAGUUUUCAUCAGUAAAGAGAACACCCACAAUGAUGAGAUCAUGGUGCCAACAAAGCAAAAUAGCCUUCGAAGUUCCAAUGAAGAUGAAUGAUUUUUUCUCCUUCCAAAGACAAUUUGGAGGACUGUUUCCAAGAGGACCGUGCCCUCUUACUGAUGGUGACCCAUGGUUAACAGGAUCUGAGAUUUGCCACAUGUGUGCCAGUGGCGGUGCAUGCCGUCCAAGCUCGAGUUCAUAGCCAAGGGAAGGCUAAAUGAGGAAACUGAGAGAGGCCCAGGAAGAUGAAGAGAUUCCACUCUGAUCAACCCAUGGGAGUGUGUUGGGAGAAUAUAAGUUGAUUAAGAUGCUGACUCCUUGGUAUUUCCUGCUGAAGUGUUUGUUGGGUGGAGUUCCCUUUGGAAGCUCCAGAGUUUUCCUGUUUGUGUCAUUGAAUGAAAGAACCUUAAAUAAACUUGCUUGUUAUGCUUUCUCCUUUUACCUC
rnacentral:lncRNA from 1 species